AACGAACGCUGGCGGCAGGCUUAACACAUGCAAGUCGAGCGCCCCGCAAGGGGAGCGGCAGACGGGUGAGUAACGCGUGGGAACAUACCCUUUUCUACGGAAUAACGCAGGGAAACUUGUGCUAAUACCGUAUGAGCCCUUCGGGGGAAAGAUUUAUCGGGAAAGGAUUGGCCCGCGUUGGAUUAGCUAGUGGGAGGGGUAAAGGCUUACCAAGGCGACGAUCCAUAGCUGGUCUGAGAGGAUGAUCAGCCACAUUGGGACUGAGACACGGCCCAAACUCCUGCGGGAGGCAGCAGUGGGGGAUAUUGGACAAUGGGCGCAAGCCUGAUCCAGCCAUGCCGCGUGAGUGAUGAAGGUCUUAGGAUUGUAAAGCUCUUUCACCGGAGAAGAUAAUGACGGUAUCCGGAGAAGAAGCCCCGGCUAACUUCGUGGCAGCAGCCGCCGUAAGAC
rnacentral:rRNA from 1 species